rnacentral:rRNA from 1 species
CAUAUGGAUUCCUACGGGAGGCAGCAGUGGGGAAUAUUGGACAAUGGGCGCAAGCCUGAUCCAGCCAUGCCGCGUGAGUGAAGAAGGCCCUCGGGUUGUAAAGCUCUUUUGUACGGGAAGAAACACGGCCGGUUAAUACCCGGCUGGACUGACGGUACCGUAAGAAUAAGCACCGGCUAACUUCGUGCCAGCAGCCGCGGUAAUACGAAGGGUGCAAGCGUUACUCGGAAUUACUGGGCGUAAAGCGUGCGUAGGUGGUGCGUUAAGUCCGAUGUGAAAGCCCUGGGCUCAACCUGGGAAUGGCAUUGGAUACUGGCGUGCUCGAGUACGGUAGAGGGUGGCGGAAUUCCCGGUGUAGCAGUGAAAUGCGUAGAGAUCGGGAGGAACAUCCGUGGCGAAGGCGGCCACCUGGACCAGUACUGACACUGAGGCACGAAAGCGUGGGGAGCAAACAGGAUUAGAUACCCUGGUAGUCCACGCCCUAAACGAUGCGAACUGGAGGUUGGGUGCACUUAGGCGCUCAGUCUCGAAGCUAACGCGUUAAGUUCGCCGCCUGGGGAGUACGGUCGCAAGACUGAAACUCAAAGGAAUUGACGGGGGCCCGCACAAGCGGUGGAGUAUGUGGUUUAAUUCGAUGCAACGCGCAGAACCUUACCUGGCCUUGACAUCCACGGAACUUUCCAGAGAUGG